GGGGCUGGGCUCUCCGACCUCCCCCCAGGGGCUCUGGUGCUAGCCUUGGUGACCCCACUGAAAAACAGGUUCCCAGUGGUCUUCUCCAAGGGAACAUUCGCACAGUAGGUGUGCAGUCACCUGGGAGAUGUCAAUGUGCAGUGACGGGCACGCAGUAGGUGUGGAGUCACCCGGGAGAUGUCGGUGUGCAGUGACGGGCACACAGUAGGUGUGGAGUCACCCGGGCGAUGUCGGUGUGCAGUGACGGGUACGCAGUAGGUGUGCAGUGACAGGCACAUAGUAGGUGUGCAGUGACAGGCACGCAGUAGGUGUGGAGUCACCCGGGAGAUGUCGGUGUGCAGUGACGGGCACACGGUAGGUGUGCAGUGACAGGCACACAGUAGGUGUGGAGUCACCCGGGAGAUGUUGGUGUGCGGUGACAGGCACGCAGUAGGUGUGCAGUGACAGGCACAUAGUAGGUGUGCAGUGACAGGCACACAGUAGGUGUGGAGUCACCCAGGAGAUGUUGGUGUGCGGUGACAGGCACACAGUAGAUGUGCAGUGACGGGCACACAGUAGGUGUGGAGUCACCCAGGAGAUGUCGGUGUGCAGUGAUGGGCACACAGUAGGUGUGGAGUCACCUGGAAG